UCUUUCUCACUCCAGCCACAUUCCCUCCUGACGCGCCCCCUCGGGGCGUGCACUCGACCUUCCCGGUCCCCUGGCGCUAGGUCAGGGAACAGGGACCAAGGUCCCGGGGCAGACGGCUCGGUUGGUGACCUGGAACGCCCAGCGAGCCCGGGCGUCCCCGCUAUCCCUCCUUCCCGCGCUCCCCACCCCCGCCGGCCUCCUCCUCCUGAGCCGCGCGAGUUCGCGCCAGAGUCGCAGUGCUGCCGGGCAUCCAGUGUCCCCGCGCACGGACACCUCCGCCGGCGCGCUGCGAGCAGAAAAGCUAAACUUGUUGCUUCCAAAGGCGAGAGAACAGUUCUUCCGAAGGUGGCAGAAAGAAAGCUUGAAAAGCAUCUCCAAGGCGUCCUCUGGGCUUUACUUGCUAAGCCAGGCACAGCAGCGGUGGCGACGAGGGUGGAAACGGCCGUGGAGAAGUCCGUGGCCAGAGGAGCCUCGCCGGAGUCCGCCGCGCUGCAGGGCAGGUCCGAAUGGAGCUUGACCCUCUGAACGUGGUAACACACCGAGGUCAUUUGCAGUGGGAACGUACUACAUUGGACGGGUGAAUUCUGACACUGAAGUCCCACAAAUUAAAAUAAAUUGAGAAUGUCUUAAAAUGGUCUUUCGUUUGGGCGUCCGUGUCCACAAAUUUCUAUUCGUCUUAGACCAACGCCCUCUUUCGGCAGAAACUUGUAGCCGACUUGUAACCCCGAUGCCACCACCCCAGGCGCUGAGUUUGCUUUUUGGUCUUUGUUUUAUUUUUCUUUGUUUAGCGCCGAGGCCUCAAAGAGCAGUCGCUCUCAUCUGUGAUGAUAAAAAGGCAAAUUGGGGUUUCCGGAGAUGUGGCAAUUUCAGGCAUCAGCGCUCGUCACCUUUAACAGCACCCUCCUUAUCGCUCUUUCUGGCACCGUAAAUGUGUCCAUCAACCGCAGUCUCUCUUCAUUUCUUUGGAGAUGUCCUGAGAUAAAAUGAC